rnacentral:lncRNA from 1 species
CCUAGAUGUCCUAAUCAACCCUUCGUAAUCCUUGAUAGUGAUCACCCUUGUUUUCAAUUUAGUGAUAGUGAAUUUCUACAUGAUGUAGUAGUAGGUGAUAGAUUAGAUGAUGAUAUUAUGAAUACUCUUUAUCCUAAUGAACCUAUCUGAGAGGGAAAUGAGGAUGAUGAUGAAACCCAAGCACCAGAUUUAGAUGAUACACCUACUAGUCC